UACAUUCACAGAAGGAUGAUGUCUUCCCCUCAUUCCAAAGAGCUGAGACAGAGGUACAAUGUUUGAUCCAACCCCAUCCAAAAGGAUGAAGUAGUUCGGGUUGUGCGAGGACACCAUAAAGGUUAGCAAGCUGGAAAAGUAGUCCAGGUUUACAGGAAGAAAUACAUCAUCUACAUUGGACGGGUACAGCAGGAAAAGGCUAAUGUUCAACUAUCCACGUGGGUAUCUACCCCAGCAAGGUGGUUAUCACCAGGCUAAAGCUGGACAAAGACUGCAAAGAGAUCUUUGAACGGAAAGCCACAUCUCACCAAGUAGGAAAAGAGAAGGGCAAAUGCAAGGAAAAAACAAUUGAGAGGAUUCAGGAAUAA
rnacentral:lncRNA from 1 species